AGUGAACGCUGGCGGUAGGCCUAACACAUGCAAGUCGAACGGCAGCACAGUAAGAGCUUGCUCUUACGGGUGGCGAGUGGCGGACGGGUGAGGAAUACAUCGGAAUCUACUUUUUCGUGGGGGUUAACGUAGGGAAACUUACGCUAAUACCGCAUACGACCUACGGGUGAAAGCAGGGGAUCUUCGGACCUUGCGCGAUUGAAUGAGCCGAUGUCGGAUUAGCUAGUUGGCGGGGUAAAGGCCCACCAAGGCGACGAUCCGUAGCUGGUCUGAGAGGAUGAUCAGCCACACUGGAACUGAGACACGGUCCAGACUCCUACGGGAGGCAGCAGUGGGGAAUAUUGGACAAUGGGCGCAAGCCUGAUCCAGCCAUACCGCGUGGGUGAAGAAGGCCUUCGGGUUGUAAAGCCCUUUUGUUGGGAAAGAAAAGCAGCAGAUUAAUACCCCGCUGUUCUGACGGUACCCAAAGAAUAAGCACCGGCUAACUUCGUG
rnacentral:rRNA from 1 species